rnacentral:rRNA from 1 species
AUGUUCUGCAAAGAAUCAUUGCUUUUCCUCAAUUUAUUUAUCAGAUGCACUCAAUCUGAAGCUUCCAAGACCAACAGUCAUCAUUCUAUAAGGUCACAACUCAUACUCUCAGAUUCUGAGGUCCUCCAGCAGUUCAUCAAGCUCCACCUCGUCACACGGGUCCAGAUCAAUGCCUCCUAUCCCCAUGGCGAUAUCAUCAAUGCCGACAUCACCAUGGUCAUCGCUUCUUCCACCGUCCUGCUGCAUCCUCUCGCCGUCGCCGCCCUUCUCGUAGAACUUCUUGACCAGCACCGCGUCCGGCAAGCAAUGGCUCUGCCCAUCCAGGUCAUUGGCGUUGGCGCCGCGGAGGUCGUAGCCAAGUGCACGGUCGCCGGGGCGCAGGAGGUGCCCGAGGUGCGUCCUCACGGUGAUGAUGGCGUCCGUCCUACCCAGCUCCGAUGCGCGGGCCACCUGCACGUACGCUGUCCGGUACCCGAACCUGGCGGCCGUGGCGUCGCCGAUGGCCAGCGAUGGGUCGACAUCCAGCACGACGUACUCCACGAGCUGGCGGCUGCUGAGCGUGGGCUCGAACCUGUGCCGGUCGUAGUCCUUGAUGCCGAGGCUGACAACGCGGUGGGUGGAGGCGUCGAGGAGGGCCAGCGUGUCGGUGACCCUGACACAGAGCACGAGCGGCCCGAGCCCGCCGAGCGCGCGGGACGCCUCCCUCGGAAGGAAGACGAGGUCAUCGCGGCACACCGGGCAGAGCUCAACGGAGAAGGCGUGCCGGUGGCGGUAUGUGUUGCUCUUGGUGUCAUGCGACACGAGCUGCCUCGCCGCGUCCGCCACGCGCGCCGGCGCGAGGGAGGCAAUGAGGGCGACAAGGCCGGCAGCGUGUGA